UCCCUGAGUUCAUGCCGUUC
rnacentral:miRNA from 1 species